rnacentral:misc_RNA from 1 species
GAAAUGCGAUAAGUAGUGUGAAUUGCAGAAUUCAGUGAAUCAUCGAAUCUUUGAACGCACAUUGCGCCCUUUGGUAUUCCAAAGGGCAUGCCUGUUCGAGCGUCAUUUGUACCCUCAAGCUUUGCUUGGUGUUGGGCGUCUUGUCUCUAGCUUUGCUGGAGACUCGCCUUAAAGUAAUUGGCAGCCGGCCUACUGGUUUCGGAGCGCAGCACAAGUCGCACUCUCUAUCAACAAAGGUCUAGCAUCCAUUAAGCCUUUUUUUCAACUUUUGACCUCGGAUCAGGUAGGGAUACCCGCUGAACUUAAGC